UACGUAGGGGGCAAGCGUUGUUCGGAAUUACUGGGCGUAAAGCGCACGUAGGCGGACUCUUAAGUCAGGGGUGAAAUCCCGGGGCUCAACCUCGGAACUGCCUUUGAUACUGUGAGUCUCGAGACCGGAAGAGGUGAGUGGAAUUCCUAGUGUAGAGGUGAAAUUCGUAGAUAUUAGGAAGAACACCAGUGGCGAAGGCGGCUCACUGGUCCGGUUCUGACGCUGAGGUGCGAAAGCGUGGGGAGCAAACAGG
rnacentral:rRNA from 1 species